UCCAGAGUAGCUAAUUGGAGGUAGGAUCUGCCCAGUGCUAGUUAAACGGCUGUGUAAUGCAUCAAAGUAUCUUAAUUUGGGGUCUUGAUUGGAGUCUUGUGAACGAAAUUACCUGAUAAAAGCUUUAUUAUUUAUAUGAUUAAAAAUUGAAAUGGAAGUGAAGAUGCUUUCUUUUUAUAAAAAGACAAAAAGACCCUAUUGAGUUUUAUUUUAUAAUAACGAACAAAAUUUGGUUGGGGCAACUUUGAGACAAAUUAAACUUUCAUUUAUACUUUAAGAUUUUAAUCUAAUAAAAGAUCCCACAGGAAUUUAUAACUAAACUACCAUAGGGAUAACAGAUUAAUAUUUUUUAGAGAGAUCGCAUUGGCAAAAGAGAUUAAUACCUCGAUGUUGGCUUAGGGACGUCGUACAGAUGCAGGAGUUUGUAGUAGAAAGUUUGUUCAACUAUUAAAUCCCUACGUGAUCUG
rnacentral:rRNA from 1 species